UUCAUAAUGGUUCGGACAUAUCCGAUGAAAAGAGAAGUGCGGUGAGGGGAGACCCGAUUCCGCCACGGUCCCGCCGCUGUGAAGCUGAGAGUCCUCCAAAAUGUCACUGGGAAACCGGGAAGACGAAGGAAUCGGGGAAGCUGAGUCAGAAGAACUGCCCUAUGAAUA
rnacentral:ncRNA from 1 species